rnacentral:sRNA from 1 species
GUGUAUAGCACAGCAUAAUAAGAAAAUCUCCUUUUCUUUCUUGGACAGUGUUAUUGGACUCAUUUGUCCAGGCAGGGAAGCCGGUUCCUUGCCAGCAGAAAAAGCACCGCCAGUCAACACAUUCCCAGCACCCUUACCGGCAUCCACAGAGCACUGAGUGAAGAGUUUCUGGUUUCAAAAUGGUCCAGUUCUCGUUAGACCAUGAAAGCCAGCCCUUGUCUUUUCUGAGGAUUCUUCACUUUAUUUCAAUAGAACGUUAAGACUUUACUCAUAAUCUGUGAAUCCUGUGCUCGUGGAUAAAUGCAAAUAUUGCCAUCACCUUCUACUGACAGAAGACUCCGGUGUUACCAUGGAGAACAGUGUUAAUCCUUUUGUAAUUAGAGCUUUAUUUCAGUCUUCGUCGGGCAAGGAUGGAGUCGGAUUUUGUAAUAGAAGACCCGGUUUAUGUGCUGAGAUGGAUCCAAGCCAGACAGAGAGUGAUCGUGAGGACCGAAAAGUGACUUUGAGGACCAGGAAUCCUUGUGUUUGUUCCACCCCCGGCUCCCCUCUGACCUACCAGAAGACACGAGUUCAUCAAUCUUAUUGUUAAGAAUGACAGCGGCAAGAAACCAAGACUGGGAAACUUGAAGACAUGCCGGGGGAGACUCUUCCACAGGAAAUGCAGCCCUACAUGUAAAGCGAAGCUACAAAACUCCCGGGAACAAAUCAAAAGAGGAAGAAAUCGCUGUGAUCUUGGGUUGGUCCAAGAUUUCUUAGAUCUUUCACCAGAGGCAGGCUUCAUUGCCCAACAGACUCCUAAGCGAAAUUGACCAGUUUGGGUUUUCAUUACCAGCAUGAAAUGAAACCAUACAGCUUAGAAGGAAAUGUUUACAAAAUACUCAUGUGAUAAAGAGCCCAAACAAGCUGCACAAAGAACCCUCAGAAACACACCACUGAGAAAACAAUCCAAUUAAAAAAAAUGGGGUCGUAGAUAUCGUUACCAAGGAGAGAAACCAUCCAGCUUUCUUUGUUCUUCAUUGACUUAAAGACCCCAACUCUGGAGGUCAUACACCUGGAUAAUGCAUUAUUAGUGUUCUCGGACAUUGCUGAAGAUAACUCCUUUGAUGCGUGGAUUAUGAUGCCAACAGUUGCCUAGGUUACUUUUCAGAGAGAGAAAGAGAGAACUGUGCUUACAAAUUACUCUUCUUGGGCUACCGGAAAAAGCCCUCCCUCCCCACAGUACUUUUCUCAUAGAUGUUGAUCUUUGUGAAGGACGUGCUUCCUGACCUGGGUUGGAUAGCCAUAUGAAUAAGUAAUUUACUAAAGAAGACACGUAAAUGGCGAAUAAAGACGGGAAGUAAACGCUCAUUGUUGUAGUCACCAACAAGAUGCAAGAAAAGCUGCAGGGGGAGGAUGCUUCCUGUCAGUUAAUGAAAAAUAGAUUGACCAUAUCAACUAAAACUAGAGGAAUGGCGGUCUCUGUUCGCUGCUGUUGGCAAAGUAAGAUGUUACAACUUCAGAAAGCUUUCUUGCUGUUUGCUACAAGGUUAAACCCACUGAGAUUGCGCAGUGGCUGGUACUUACUGCUCAAGCAUGAAGACCUACAUUCAGACCCCAGGACCCAAUUAAAAGUCAGUUGUGGCAACAGAUGCCUGUAACCUGGGUGCUAGUAGAGGAGGGAAGAGACAGGGAGAUCCCUUCUGAUGGCUCGCUGGUAAGCCAGCCUAGCUGCAAGGGAAACGGGGAGUUCCUGACAAGAUCCAAAAGCAAUCAAGAGGGAGAUUCCAAUGUCAGGCCUUGGUCUACAAAUGUACCCAACAUGCACGCAUACAUGCUUACGUCAUCACACCCAGAUAAAAGCUCAACACUCAACCAUCCAGCUGACAAGAAGAAAUACAUCCGUGCAAAGGUCGGAACUAGAGGGUUCUGAGCACCCAUUUUGUCCUGAUCAAAUCCUCAGAACAACUCUAAUGUCUCUGGGGGUACCAAUAAGCAGAAUACUCUUAUGAACAAAAAAGAAAGAAAGAAAUUUGCAAAUCAGCAUGCUGAGUGAAAGAAACCAUACUACAUAAGCCCAUUUGUAGAUAAUUCUAGAGAGGGAGAACCAAAUUCAUUUUGGCUGAAAGCCUGUAGCCAUGGCAACAAUUAAUCCAAGGGGGUGGGGAUUAUGAAGAAAUAUCUCUGUGAGGUAGUGACAAUCUAUAGAUGUAGAUAUUUGAUUUCAUAUUUAUAUUUAUCAUAUUUUAUUCUUAAUGUACAGUUUUGAUGUCAAUGCUAUCUCAACAACCUUUUUUUUUAAGAAGGCCAAACAGCAUGCUGUAUCCUAGUGAGCAAAACUAGCGUUCUUAACGUCACUAAUAGAGAAUUGAAGACAGAGAAUAAUGAUAAUGAUAUAAGCCUCCACUGAACCCAUCCUGGGUGCUCAGCCCUUUAAAGUCAACCUUAUCCUCGUACUUUGUCACAGAAGAAUGGACUUCACAUUCCUUAGUAAGCUCUGAUACCUAACUCUGGCAGGUUGCCAUGGAGCACAUGUCCAACCACAGUCUGAGAUGUGAGGCACCAACACAUUUCUCAGUUGGCCUACUGUGGAACCAGGACAGCUGUGGGCUGGGAGGAACGUAGGAGGGGCUGUGGUCUGUGAAGUCUUGCUGGGACUGGGAUUGGGGGAAUGUGGCCGAGCCUGCUGAAGAGCAGGAAGGUAGGAGCCUUUGAACCACAUCAUCUUACUUAGUCAUUGCAUUUCUUUCUCUGCCCUUAUUUUCAUUUUCUGCAUCCUUUUCUGAUAGGGUCGAGAUGGAAAACUGGUAUGUCUACUGUGUUUGAUGGCCACAGAAUACAGCUGAGCCCUGGGCCUGGGAACAAAUCUACCUUUCCUGGUGGCAUUCACUUGUGCAAGUGAAGCCUCACCGAUUCUUAAGAUAGAGGGAGUCCAGCGGCUGCUCAGCACCAGCCCCAAUCUACAUUUUUUUACAGGAAAAAACCCACAAGUGAUUAUGAUUUGGUGAUCUGUCAUUCACGAUGCCAGUCUGAUUUUGUGCUAGUUCGCAUCAAGCAGGGCGAUUAGACCCAUAAUCUAAUCACAACUGUAAAGAGGGACUGUCUCCUCCCCAGUUCCCAAGUCUCUACCCUAAACACACUGUAGAAUGACAAUCUAAACUAAUUGCCAAUUAGAGAUGGUCAUAAGGAGUGUGGGGUGUUGUUGUAAAGCCGGUGUAAACCUCUGAUAUUAUGAUAAUUGUUUUCAAGGAAAAACGGGAUUAGAGGCGAGCCAUGAAAACAUGAAGGGCAUUCAGUGUUUGGCGGCUCAGGGGCCUCGCUAAUCUUUAAGUCUCUGAAAGGAAUAUUGUUAAUACUACAUGACAGAUAAAUUAUAUCUUGAACCUCUAGAAAUGCCUGGAGGGAAAUAAAAAAAAUGCUGUUAGCAGACAGACUUCUUAGGAUAUUCCCAGGAUGCUUCUGGGUUUCCAGAAACCCAGCUAUGGGCCUCAGUGAAUCACAUGCGUCACAUUACCAAAACAGUCACAUGAGGCGGCCAGCAGUUAGAGGUAGCAAAGUAACAGAUGUGUCCGUCUCCUGGUCACCCCACCUGGGAAGUACUACCAUCAUUUCCUCCUUUUAUUUUAUUUUAUUAUUUUUUAAGAUUCUUUGUUAUUUUGCCAGGGCACCGGAAGACAUAUGUCACUUUUCCACCUUAACGGGGCAUUUUCUGGUUUGUUUGGAUUUAUGUCGCAAGCUUAAUGAGAUUUAAAUGGAAUUUUUGUAUGUGAAUAAUACAGAGGCUUAAUGCAAAACUCUCCUCUGCUGUAAGGCUGGUGUGCAUUUGCAUAAAGGUAUUUAAAUAUGAAAGAAAGAUCUUGGAGAUUCUAUAAAUCACCAGGCCUUAGCUACGCUGGAGCAACACAGGGACCAGUCAGCCUAGCCACAAAUAAAGUACUUUCUGGACAAGGGCCAUGUCUUUACUUUUCUGCCAUAGAAAAACAGCCAAGGUGGGCUGGCCCUGAGAGGAGAUGGGGAACUAGUUGGCCUCAGCAGCUCCUAUGGAAUAUCUGGGCCCCUGUUGUCACCAAAUAAAUAGUUACCUCUGAGUUCCAGUUAGAGGCCAUGAUGAGUUGACAGAUUGGCAGGUGGAGAGUACACGGAAGAAAGAGUGAAUUAUGAACCAGAUGUGGCAGGGUCGUCGCUGUCAUUAUCUUUUUAAAUAACAAGUGGUGUCUACUCCUGAGACCCAUCUGUAUGGACAGGUGAAUGGAGGUCACCCCUCUGUUUCUCUUUCUGAGCCUGCCUCUUUCUGCCACCAUCAUGGGGUUUGGGGGGAUUUUCUGAGGUGGCUCUGAGUCAAUGUACAGCUCCCCCUAGCCUGAUUCUGAGGACUCUGGGAUUUCCUGGCAUGGCUCUGGCUUUGCAGUCACUGGGGGAUGGCUUUUCUUACAUUGGGUCACCACACGGUUGUCAUCUCCCUUAUAUUUGACCUCGGAAAUGAAAGGCAAACUGUGACCUAGAAGCACUAAGUCAGAUGGCUCAGUGGGUAAAGGUGCUUGCUCUUAAGCCUUAGGAUCAGAGUGUGAUUACUGGGGCCUCUAAAUGGGAAACCCAACCCCCAAAAGUUGUUCUGUGACCUCCGAAUGCACACCAUAGCAAUCUCAGGGUGGUACUCACAACCGUACACAUACACACUGUAAUGAAAG